CGUGCAGCGUGAAGGUCGUCGCGGGUUUGUUGUUUGCUUGAUAAUUGUAGUACCGAGUGUCGCCGAGUGAUGUCGCGCAGUGUCUCUUCGCCAUGACACUUUUCGUUCACUCGUCGCGAUGUCACGAAAUGUAUUCGCGAGUAAUCUUAUUUUCUUCGUAUCGUUCGUUCAUUUCGAAGUGUAUCGGUGUGUAGUGAAGUGCGAUAAAUAAUGAUUGCAAAUAUUAAAUAGAAAAAACAGUGCAGUAAUCAGACAAAUCAUAUGGGAUUAUGGCAGAGCAGCAGUGGAACAUUGAAGCGGAUAUAUUAAAGUAGAGAGGUUAGAUAAUAAACUCAACGCAAAGUGAGUUUAUAUAUAUCGCGCGUGUAUCUACAAGUGCGGGAGUGCCGUAAAAGUGUCGCGCGAUGUUAUUCAAUGGACUUUGACAAUCCUGAUGACUUGAGAGGAGGAGGAGGCCUGGGAAAGGCAUCGAGAAUUGGCGGAGAAAUCCUAGGACAGCGUAGCGUCGCAUAUCAACAACCUUGCAGUUGCACAUCGAUAUCAAUUAAAAAUAUCAACGUAAUCCACUCAACUGUUGCGCACAUCGACCGGUG